rnacentral:lncRNA from 1 species
UGGUCAAGCAGGAAAAGCCCCAGAGACUGGAGUCAGGCAGGGUCAGCACCAGUGCUGACAGCCACCCCAGGCUCUAUGGAGAUCUACAGUCUAGAGAGUGAGUGGAAAGAAACCAAGUAGGAGGUCGAAGCUUGAAGAGUCAUAAAGAAACUGACAGGAAGGGACAACAGGGCAGAGUGAUCAUAAAAACUGGCAGCAACAGUAGGUGGGAACCAGCUUAACCUCCUUCCUUUUCUUUUCUAAACUUGACACCCACACACACAAACACGUACUGUGCCUGAGACUUCCAAAGGGAAUAUAGGAAGAGGACAACAAUAAUAGCAAUAACCAAUUGCAUGUACUGAAUAUUUAAUAUUAUCUCAUUAACUCCUCACAACAACCAUAUAAGGUUGAUACUACAAUGAGGCUCAUUUUUUAAAUAAAUAAUGUGCAGAGAGGUUAGGAAGCUGACUGAAGAUAAAGCUGCCCACUGGGUAAGUGGAGGCUCAGAACAUUAAGAAGUAGGGGUUUGCUCUAAAUAUUUUCUCAUUCUUUUACAUAUAGAAAAUAUCAAUGAAAAAGGGAAUAAUCAGGGUUUUUCCACUGCAUGAGCCCAGUUAAAAACUGUGUGUGUUUGUGCAUAUGUGAACAUAUAUAUGAGAAAAUAAAGGCGGAGAGAAUGGAGAAUGGAUUGUAAUUAUGUCAUUAUCAUUGGGGGGAAAAGUGAGAAUAUCAUUUUCUUUGAUCUUCUAGCCAUCCCUCUUCAGGAUUGCAAAAAUAUGCUGUAGAUGUUAACAGAUAUCUGUGUUUGAGGAAACGUACACAUGCACACAUUUCUGAGGAUUUCCCAUAACAUUGAUAAACAGCUACUGAAUUUAUGUGAUUUGUUAGUUUCAAACAUGAAUUACUCCAGUUGUGGCACAAAACCCCUGGUUGGACUGCAACAGCUAAUGAGCAUCCCACAUUCUUACCACACCUGGUGACCCUCUGAGGCGUCUUUGGCUGUGAUGCCAGUACAUCCUCCAAGGACAGCCCUCCUGCUGAGAGCCUCACUAUCCUUGCCCAUGGAACUAAGGAACUGGCACUUUCCCAGGACCCUGCAAUUACUACCCACACGUGAGAGUUACCUGGAGAUCUUGAGGCUAGCGUGAUUUCUCAGUGAGCCUUUCACAUUUCCACAGGUCACCACAGGACCAGCUCACUCACCCCUUGAAGCUGACUGAAGUUUCUUUCUUUGAGGCUGCCUGGGUUUUGCCUUUGAAGUUUAAACCUGGGAGCAGUUAUCUGCCAGCCGAGAUAAGCACUCCCAGGGCUUCCAUGGGCAGCCGGUCCUAACAAAGAAGGGAUAAGACCUCUGAGUGUGCUUUGCCAUCUACCAAGUCGCAGCAGAAAAGAGAGUAAUCAGGGUCCUUUCCACGGGGUGCUCUAAGAGUGAAUCCAAUCAAAUUAAAGGAAAGUCAAAGAGAAAAGAUAAAAUAGCUUCAAAAGAGAACCCGACCUGUAGACUGCCUGUCAAUCAGCAGGAGCCACAAGCCAAUCAGAGGUGAAAUGAAAAAGCGUUUGAAAGAAAAUGCAUUGGAAUCAGUCGCAUUCCACCAGAGUAGGAAAAAGAAAAUGGCAACCUGUACUAGGUACAGUAAAGUUGAUAAUCAAUCUAUACAUCUAAGUGUGUUAAUGGAGAUUAUACACAUCCAUCUGAAUUGACAGGAUUUCUCUCUGUAUAGUCAUGAUAUUGGCAUCCUCAACAGCUGCUGUCCAUGAGCUCACAAAGCUAGUAUAACCAAGAGAAUGAACAAAACUCUUAAGCAAUAAGUACACUAUCUAAUUUGGCAGACAAAUUUAAUUUAAGAUCUGUGAUUUUUUUUUUUCCCUUGCUAGUGUUGGGUGUGCUGUCCAACUUAAGAAGAUAACCAAAUUCUGGAAGAUUCCUACUGUGGCUCAGCAGGUUAUGAAACCAGCUAGUAUAUAUGAGGAUGUGGGUUCAAUCCCUGGCCUUGCUCAGUGGGUUAAGGAACCAGCAUUGCUAUGAGCUGCAGUGUAGGUCACAGAUGUGGCUCGGAUCCUGCAUUACUGUGGCAUAGUCCUGCAGUAGCAGAUUCAAUUCAGCCCCUAUCCUGGGAACUUCCACAUGUUGCAGGUGUGGCCCUCAAAAGCAAAAAGAAUAAUAAUGAUAAUAGGUGGAGCAAGAUGGCAAAGGAGUAAGAGGUCAUGCUUACCUUCUCCCAGAAAUACAUCAAAAAAACACAUCUACAUGGCAAACGACUCACACAGAGCAUCAACUGAAUGCUGGCAGAAGAACUUAAAUCUCCAAAAAGAUAAUAAACCCUUGACAUAGCUGGGUAGAACAAAAGAAAAAAAGAGAGAGAGAGAAAAGACUCAGGACAGGACUAGCAUUCCUGAAAGGGAACUGUGAAGGAGAAAAGGAACCCACAUCCUGAGAAGCCACCUAACUGAUGGAAAGAUCAGCUGAAUGGGAAGGACCUCAAAGUUGCUGAGAAAAGCCUAGCGGCUAAACUGAGAAUGACAAAGAAGAUUGAGAGCCGGACAGAUCAUCUGAACCACUGGCCUGGAAACCAUAGCCUGAGAAGCUAGGGUGGGGACUGGGCACUGAGACUUAGGCUCCAGAGGUCAGUCCCCAGGAGAGCACUGGUUUUGGCAGUGUGGAGACAAUCUAAGGGACUAAGAUGCAGUGUGCCAUGGGCAGGGGAGCUGUACAUCACAGGCUGGGGAGCCAAACGCCAUGGCAGAGGGAACCCUGGAGAAGGUCUGGACCUGCAGGAGAGGCAAGCAUCAUUGUUGGAGAGGGAGAGAGGAGGAGGGGCAGACCGCCACAGGAAACUCCCUGUGCAUGAGCGUGCACAUGUGCCUGCAGGUUUCCAGAGGGUGGGGCAGCUCUGGCGCAGGCCACUAGUGGCGAGAAGCCAAUUGCUACUCUACAGGGGACUGGUGCAGUCUGCUGCAUGGGGCAAGAAACCACGUGCUAGUCUACAGGGGACCCAGCAUUUCUGGUGCAUGGUAUGUGGGGAAAGAAGCCUCUUGCUCAUUUAGGGGAGAUUAGGUGUUUCUUGUGCAGGCUACUGGUGGCAAGGCAUCUCUUGGCAAGAGCAUCAGGGGGCUAAGUGCUAUGUGGUGCCUACCAAGCACCACAUGCUGUCACUCUCGCUCCCCUGGGAACACACCUACCUUGUAGCUGCCACAGCCAAAUGCACUGGGUGGCAUCCAGAUUCUUGGUAACUGUCCCCUUCCAAGACCCUACAACUAGGAGCAGCUGAUACAGCACUUCCUGCCUGGGCUAAGUGGGAUAGGGUGCUUCUUGUGUGGUCUGCAGGUGGCGGGGGCAAACCACCACAGUUACCCCUGACUCCAGAGGUGGGCAUGGCCCACCGCCACUGGGGAUACCUGAACAAAACACACUUGCAGCCCCAACAAUGUCAGAGGGCACCACACAGAAGGACAUUGUGACGGAACACAACCUCUUGUUGCUCUUGCUCCCUUGGGAGCACACCCAUCCUGCUGCUAUCACUGACAAACACUCUGGGCAGUUCUCAGAUGCUUGAUCACUGUCUCUUCCCAGGAACCUGCAGCUAGGAGCAACUUGUGCAGAAUACCCUGAGGGGACUAAGCAGGAUGAGGUGCUUCUUGCUGUCUACAGGAGGCGGGGGCAAACCACCACAGUUAUCUCUGGCUCCAGAGGUGGGAAUGGACCGCCACCACUAGAGAUCCAUGAACAGGCACCACUUGCAGCCCCAAUCACCUCAAAGGCACAACAGAGAAGGGCAUUGUAACUGAACACCACCUGUUGGUGCUCUUGUACCCCUCAGAACACACCAGCCCUGCUGCUGCCACUGCUGAAUUCUCUGGGGAGUACCCCCAUGCCUUAUCUCUGUCCCUUCCCAUGAUCCAGCAACUAGGAACAGCCUGUACAGCACCUCCUAUGUGGGCUAAAUGAGACAGGUUGCUUCAGGCAGGGACUACAGGUGGCGGAGGCAAACCACCAUAGUUAUCACUGACUCCAGAGAUGGGCAUGGUCCACUAACACUAGGGAGUCUCUGGAGAGGAACCACAUGCAGUUCCAGUCACCUCAGAGGAGGGCAAUGCAAUCAAACACUAGCUGUUGAUGCUCUCAUUCCCCUGGGAACAAACAUACCCUGCUGCUACUACUGCACAAUGUUCUGGUCACCUUGUAGAACUGCCUAGAGCUUAUUACCACUUCCCAGGGUCCUGCAACAAGGAGUAGCCUGUGCCACAUUCCUGCAUGUCCUUGCUGCUGUUGAGAGCCCAGUGGUCAGGCACUGUCUGCUGUCCCUACCCAUUGCCUACUUCUCACUGAAAACACACUGAGCAUCCUGGGGAUAACAGCCUGCUUACACUGAAGAAAGAGACAGCAAAUAUUCAAAAUCCCACACCAAAAAUAAAUAGUAGCCCCCCCCCAAAAAAAAAGUACAAAGGGGUGCUCUGGCAUAGAAUUAGCCUUACAAGAAUACAGUUUGGCUUCCCCACACUCACAGAAAAAGAAAAACAUAAGCAAGAUGAAGAAGCUCAGAAACCAUUCCCAGUUAAAGGAACAGGAGAAUUCACCUAAAGCAGUUAACAAUGAAACAGACCUCUGCAGUCCAAAAGACAUUGGGUUCAAAAGAGAGAUAGUGAAAAUACUGAAGGAAUUAAGGCUGAAUAUCAAGGAAUUAAGAGAGGAUGUGAAGAGUAAUGCAGAUUCCCUUAGAAAGUAACUAGAAAAUAUGAGGAGCCAAGAACCAGUUAAAGGAACAGGAGAAUUCACCUAAAGCAGUUAACAAUGAAACAGACCUCUGCAGUCCAAAAGACAUUGGGUUCAAAAGAGAGAUAGUGAAAAUACUGAAGGAAUUAAGGCUGAAUAUCAAGGAAUUAAGAGAGGAUGUGAAGAGUAAUGCAGAUUCCCUUAGAAAGUAACUAGAAAAUAUGAGGAGCCAAGAAAAACUAGAAAAUUCAUUUGCAGAGAUGAAAACAGAGCUAAAGGCAAUAAAGAGCAUAAUGAAUAAUGCAGAGGAAUGAAUUCGUGACAUAGAAGAUAGAAUAAUGGAAAUUACCCAAUCAGGACAGCAGACUGAAAACCAAAUGAAAAAAGACGUAAACAAUAUAAUAAGUCUAUGGGAUAAUACAAAGUAGGCCAAUCUAUGCAUAAUAGGAAUUCCAGAAGGAUACUAAAUAGAAAAGGGGAUUGAAAAUAUAUUUGAAGAAAUUAUGUCUGAAAACUUUCCAAAUCUAAAGGAAAUGGAUAUCAAGACACAGGAAGCACAGAGGGCCCCAAACCAGUUGAACCCAAACAGGCCCAUACCAUACAUAUUAUAAUAGACAUGGCAAAAGUUAAACAGACGGUCCAAAAGGCAGCAAGAGAAAAGCAAAGCAGUAAUUAUAAGGGAACUGCACAUAAGGCUAUCAGCUGAUUUCUAUACAGAAACACAGCAGGCCAGAAGGGAAUGGCCAAAUAUAUUUAAAGUGCUGAAAGGAAGAAAUUUGCAACCUAGAAUACUCUAUCAGCAAGAAUAUCAUUUAAAAUAGAAGGAGAAAUAAAGAAUUUCUCCAACAAACGAAAGAGUACAGCAAUAUUAAACCCAUU